AAGGCAUUAAUGAUGAAUAAUCCAAUUUGUUAUCCUUGCACUUUGAUUGUUAAAUGAAGAUAAUAAUAGGGAAACAUUAUAUGAGAUGCUU
rnacentral:snoRNA from 1 species